rnacentral:rRNA from 1 species
AAUGAACGCUGGCGGCAGGCCUAAAACAUGCAAGUCGAACGCCCUAGCAAUAGGGAGUGGCGCACGGGUGCGUAACAUGUGGGAAUAUGCCUUUUGGUACGGAACAACUCCGGGAAACUGGAGCUAAUACCGUAUGGUCCCUUCGGGGUAAAGAUUUAUCGCCAAAAGAUUAGCCCGCACUGGAUUAGCUAGUUGGUGAGGUAAUGGCUCACCAAGGCGACGAUCCAUAGCUGGUCUGAGAGGACGAUCAGCCACACUGGGACUGAGACACGGCCCAGACUCCUACGGGAGGCAGCAGUUAGGAAUAUUGGACAAUGGGCGCAAGCUUGAUCCAGCCAUGCCGCGUGAGUGAUGAAGGCCUUCGGGUUGUAAAGCUCUUUAGCCGACGAUUAUAAUGACUGUAGUCGGAGAAUAAGCCCCGGCUAACUUCGUGCCAGCCGCCGCCGUAAGAC